UCCAGGGUAGCCUAGUGGACAUGGCAUCUGCUCAGUAAGCAUAACAUUGUGGGUUCGAUUCCCAUCCCUGGAC
rnacentral:tRNA from 1 species